GAUGAACGCUAGCUACAGGCUUAACACAUGCAAGUCGAGGGACGGGCGCAUGGGUGAGUAACACGUAACCAACCUGCCCUUUGCGCGGGGAUAGCCUUUCGAAAGAAAGAUUAAUACCCGAUAUAAAGGCUGGGGAUGCGUUGCAUUAGGUUGUGGGUGAGGUAACGGCUCACCAAGCUUUCGAUGGAUAGGGGUUCGGAGAGGAAGGUCCCCUGGAGUGGAACCAGGACCCGGACCAAACUCGUACGGGAGGCAGGAGUGAGGAAGAUUGGUCAAGCGUGGCUAGCCCGAACCAGCCACGUAGCGUGAAGGAUGAAGGCGUAUGGGUCGUAAUCCUCUUUUAUAGAAGAAGAUGUAUUAUAUGAAUAAGGAUCGGCUAACUCCGUGCCAGCCGCCGCGGUAAUUC
rnacentral:rRNA from 1 species